CUAGGAUCAUUGGGCUACCAGGCGACCCUGUUUAUGUGCUGAGGAGUUCCAUCUGGACGGGGCAUUGUCUUCAUUUAUCAACCAUUACGUGGAAGAGCAUACAGCUGACACUUGAUGGACGUCCUAACAACAAGCUUCUCAACUUAUAAAAAGAGGCAAAGAAGGUCUCACCCAAGCCUCAUUCAAGAGAUUCACUGGGAGGGAAGAGUCCAGGAG